rnacentral:siRNA from 1 species
UCUACAAGGGAAUUCUCGAGG